AAAUUGAAGAGUUUGAUCAUGGCUCAGAUUGAACGCUGGCGGCAGGCCUAACACAUGCAAGUCGAGCGGCAGCGGAAAGUAGCUUGCUACUUUGCCGGCGAGCGGCGGACGGGUGAGUAAUGUCUGGGAAACUGCCUGAUGGAGGGGGAUAACUACUGGAAACGGUAGCUAAUACCGCAUAACGUC
rnacentral:rRNA from 1 species